GUCCAGAAUGAAGGGACAAUGUGUUGUUUAAGGAUUAAACAACUAAACACCUAAUAGGGGGUGAAUUAGGUAUGUUACUAAAUUCUACAAUGAAUACAAAUUACUUUAAAUAACACAAUAACCAUAAUCAAAGUACUUAAACUAAAGAUAUAAGAAAAGAGAAAUUGCAAACUCAUUCUUAACGUGACCUGACAAACCUACUGUUGGGAAUUUCGCCCGAACCGGUGAUGUUCUGAUAGUUGCUCAUUGAAAGCUUAGCACACUGAGACACAAUAUUUAACGUGGUUCGGCAAAUCACCUACAUCCACGGGAGAGUUCUGUAUUAUUAGAGACAGAGAAAUGAUACAAUACAAAUACAUGGAGGAGGAGGAUCACUUCACUCAAACUCUACUCCCAUUGCUCUCACACAUUACUGCACAUGGCAGCAGGGUUGCUGCCCUUGGCAGCUACUCCUCUUUCUCUAUUGUUCUCUUUUUUUCUGUACUGCACUCACUUCAUCACGUUGCUGCACUUGUAGCUACUACAAUGGCAGCCCUUCUCUGCAGCUCUGU
rnacentral:lncRNA from 1 species